rnacentral:rRNA from 1 species
CCUACGGGGUGCAGCAGUCGAGAAUCAUUCACAAUGGGGGAAACCCUGAUGGUGCGACGCCGCGUGGGGGAAUGAAGGUCUUCGGAUUGUAAACCCCUGUCAUGUGGGAGCAAAUUAAAACGAUCGUACCACAAGAGGAAGAGACGGCUAACUCUGUGCCAGCAGCCGCGGUAAUACAGAGGUCUCAAGCGUUGUUCGGAAUCACUGGGCGUAAAGCGUGCGUAGGCUGUUUCGUAAGUCGUGUGUGAAAGGCGCGGGCUCAACCCGCGGACGGCACAUGAUACUGCGAGACUAGAGUAAGGGAGGGGGAGCCGGAAUUCUCGGUGUAGCAGUGAAAUGCGUAGAUAUCGAGAGGAACACUCGUGGCGAAGGCGGGUUCCUGGACAGUAACUGACGCUGAGGCACGAAGGCCAGGGGAGCGAAAGGGAUUAGAUACCCGUGUAGUC